rnacentral:misc_RNA from 1 species
UCUCCGUUGGUGAACCAGCGGAGGGAUCAUUACCGAGUUUACAACUCCCAAACCCCUGUGAACAUACCAUUUGUUGCCUCGGCGGUGCCUGCUUCGGCAGCCCGCCAGAGGACCCAAACCCUUGAUUGUAUACAGUAUCUUCUGAGUAAAUGAUUAAAUAAAUCAAAACUUUCAACAACGGAUCUCUUGGUUCGG